CCUACGGGCGGCAGCAGUGAGGAAUAUUGGUCAAUGGGCGGAACCCUGAUCCAACGACGCCGCGUGAGUGAAGAAGGAUUUCGGUAUGUAAAGCUCUAUCAGCAGGGAAGAAAAUGACGGUACCUGACUAAGAAGCCCCGGCUAACUACGUGACAGCAGCCGCGGUAAUACGUAGGGGGCAAGCGUUAUCCGGAUUUACUGGGUGUAAAGGGAGCGUAGACGGUGCAGCAAGUCUGCUGUGAAAGGUCGGGGCCCAAACCCGGGACUGCAUUGGAAACUGUUGAACUGGAGUACAGGAGAGGUAAGCGGAAUGCCUAGUGUAGCGGUGAAAUGCGUAGAUAUUAGGAGGAACACCAGUGGCGAAGGCGGCUUACUGGACUGUAACUGACGCUGAGGCUCGAAAGCGUGGGUAGCAAACAGGAUUAGAUACCCGUGUAGUC
rnacentral:rRNA from 1 species